rnacentral:rRNA from 1 species
CAGGAUGAACGCUAGCGGCAGGCUUAAUACAUGCAAGGCGAAGGGGCAGCAAUGUCACUGUCGUACGGGUGCGUAACGCGUAUGCAACCUACCUAUCACUGGGGGAUAGCCCGGGGAAACCCGGAUUAAUACCGCAUAAAACAGGGGCACCGCAUGGUGAUAUUUGUUAAAGAUUUAUUGGUGAUAGAUGGGCAUGCGUUCGAUUAGCUAGUUGGCGGGGUAACGGCCCACCAAGGCGACGAUCGAUAGGGGAGCUGAGAGGUUGAUCCCCCACACGGGCACUGAGAUACGGGCCCGACUCCUACGGGAGGCAGCAGUAGGGAAUAUUGGGCAAUGGAUGCAAGUCUGACCCAGCCAUGCCGCGUGCCGGAUGAAGGCCCUCAGGGUUGUAAACGGCUUUUAUUCGGGAAGAAGAGCAGGGAUGCGUCCUUGUGUGACG